rnacentral:rRNA from 1 species
CUCCUGUCCUUUGCAUCAUGGUCUAGCUAGUCCCCCCAAGCAAAAAGAAAUUUAAGUUUGACCUCCCGAAACUAAGCGAGCUACUUCGAAACAGCCUAUCAGGGCCAACCCGUCUCUGUUGCAAUAGAGUGGGAAGAUUUCCAAGUAGCGAUGACAAGUCUACCGAGCUUAGAGAUAGCUGGUUCCUCAAGAAAAGAAUAUAAGUUCUGCCUUAAACCUCCUCAUUUCCUAUAAAAGCUAACCAGGUUUAAGAGUUAUUCAAAUAAGGCACAGCUUAUUUGAAUCAGGAUACAACCUCUAAUAUUGGGCUCACCCCAUCCUUUUAACCAAGUAGGCCUAGCAGCAGCCACCUUUCAGAAAGCGUUACAGCUUCACUAUACCCCUUCCCUCAAUUCCUAACCCCUCUGUCAACCCUAUCCUCCUAUUGAGUAAUUCUAUACCCUAUAGAAAUUAUAAUGCUAGAACUAGUAACAAGAAAACGACUUUCUCCUAAAUGCAUGCAUAAAUCAGAUGGACAAACCACUGAUAAUUAACGUUUACUGAUCCCUACUAUAACAACCCCCUCCCGAAAACAUUAUAACUUCCCCAAACGUUUACCUCACACCAGAGCACUCCAGGAAAGAUUAAAAGAAAAAGAAGGAAUUCGGCAAACUUUGGGCCCGCCUGUUUAC